GAUUCCUCGCUCCCAAAAUUCAUAAACCCUAAAAAUCAAGGGGGAAAAGAAAAAAAUCCAAAAAAAAAAAAAAUUCCCANCCCGAUGAGCGAGAUCGCGAAGAGAGGAUGGCAGAGCUACACUCAUCAGCUCCAGAGCCACCCUCUCCGAACCAAGGCCAUCACCUCCGCCGUCCUCGCCGGCGUCAGCGACUCCGCCGCCCAAAAGAUCUCCGGCAUCCAAAAGCUCCACAGAAAGCGCAUCCUCCUCAAAAUGAUGUUUGGGUUCCUCUACUACGGACCAUUUGGGCACUACUUACAUAAAACUUUGGAUAGGAUCUUCAAGGGGAAGAAGGAUAAGAAGACGGUGGCGAAAAAAGUGUUGUUGGAGCAGGUGACUUCUUCUCCUUGGAACAACAUGGUGUUCUUGAUGUACUAUGGGUUUGUUGUAGAGGGACGACCUUGGCCACAAGUUAAGAAUAAAAUUAAAAAGGAGUACCCCAAGUUGCAGUUGACAUCUUGGAUGUUCUGGCCAGUUGUAGGAUGGAUAAAUCACCAAUAUAUGCCACUACAAUUCCGUGUCAUAUUCAACAGUUUUGUUGCAUGCUGCUGGGGAAUAUUUAUGAAUCUUCGAGCAAGGACUGUGGCCUUAACCAAGUGAUGGAUGAAUUUGAUGGGCAAAUUGAAGGAUACUAGCUUGAUUUAUGUCAAAACAUAUGCUGCGGAUCAAUAGGAUUUCCUAUGUGUAGCAUUUUAAUAAUACUUCAAGGCCUCUCCUAUUGUAGGAAUACUCUCUUAUUGUUGUAAACAUAUUUAGGUUCAAGCAGCUAAAAGAGUCAUACUCGGAACGAGCAUCUAUUUAAUAUCUUAACAUGACAUGAAAAAGAAGCAUAUGAAGCAAGACUCUUGCGCUCAGGGAGGUUUCUGUUUGUAGAGCCAGCUUCAUCGAAGGCAAUUUCUGUCUUGCAUGCUCUCCAGAUUUCUCGCACUGACAUUGUUCUCAAAAAUCCUUUUCCACAUCCCUGUAGAAGGCAGCACUGUUGCAGAACAAUUAGAAGACCAUCCCAAUCUCCUCACCAUGCUCCAUAUGUUGGCCAUAGUUACAAUUGCAAUUGCUCACAUGACAACAAAUAUUACUGGCCAUGACCCCUGAGAAGAGUCUAUAAUACCACCACCAACAGCUGCUCGGCCAGAAAGUGCUGUGAAUGCCUUAGUAAUCUUCAAAAUUAGCUCGCUGCUGUCACAUAUUCUACUCAUCAUUCUCAUCUAUAAAAGAACGCCCUGCAUUUUCAUCA